AGAGUUUGAUCCUGGCUCAGAACGAACGCUGGCGGCAGGCUUAACACAUGCAAGUCGAGCGCCCCGCAAGGGGAGCGGCAGACGGGUGAGUAACGCGUGGAUAAUUUACCCCUGAGUGGGGGAUAACUUUGCGAAAGCGGAGCUAAUACCACGUAAGACUACAGAAUCGCAUGAUUCAGUAGUAAAAGACUUUCGAUUUUCGGAAGUUGCUCAGGGAUAAGUCCGCGCCUGAUUAGCUAGUUGGUAGGGUAACGGCCUACCAAGGCAACGAUCAGUAGCCGGCCUGAAAGGGUGUACGGCCACACUGGAAUUGAGAUACGGUCCUGACUCCUACGGGAGGCAGCAGUGGGGAAUCUUGCGCAAUGGGGGAAACCCUGACGCAGUGACGCCGCGUGAACGAUGAGGUCCUUCGGGAUGUAAAGUUCUGUCAGGCGGGAAGAACCUUCCGAUUGAAUCGGAAGAUGACGGUACCGCCAGAGGAAGCACCGGCUAAUUCCGUGCCAGCAGCCGCGGUAAGACGGAGGGUGCAAGCGUUGUUCGGAAUUACUAGGCGUAAAGAGCGUGUAGGUGGUUAGCUAAGUCGGAUGUGAAAAUUCCGAGCUCAACUCGGAACCUGCAUUCGAAACUGGUUAACUUGAGUGUGGGAGAGGAGAGUGGAAUUCCUAGUGUAGCGGUGAAAUGCGUAGAUAUUAGGAAGAACACCGGUGGCGAAGGCGACUCUCUGGCCUAAAACUGACACUGAGACGCGAAAGCGUGGGGAGCGAACAGGAUUAGAUACCCUGGUAGUCC
rnacentral:rRNA from 1 species